AUUGAACGCUAGCGGGAUGCUUUACACAUGCAAGUCGAACGAGUGGCGGACGUGUGAGUUAUAUAUCGGAACCUUCCCAGUAGCGGGGGAUAACUACUCGAAAGAGUUGCUACUACCGCAUCCCCUUGGUGCGGCCCCUAUGUGAUUAGCUAGUUGGUGGGGUAAAGGCUCACCAAGGCAACGAUCCAUAGCUGGUUUGAGAGGACGACCAGCCACACUGGGACUGAGACACGGCCCAGAAUCCUACGGGAGGCAGGAGUGGGGAAUUUUGGACAAAGGGGGAAACCCUGAUCCAGCCAUCCCGCGUGUAUGAGAAGGCCUUCGGGUUGUAAAGUACUUUUGGCAGAGAUGCGGUAACUGAAGAAUAAGCACAGGCUAACUACGUGCCAGCAGCCGCGGUAAUGG
rnacentral:rRNA from 1 species